UAAACCAUUUGCUGGAAAAAAAGGGAAAAGGAAAAAAACAAAAAUCUCUAACUCACUCUCUCUCUCUCCCCUCACUCGUGGUCCUCUUUCUUCCCCUCUUCACUCGGCUCACUCUCUCUCUUCUCCUCACUCCACCACGACGGUCCACCACAACGCCACUGCUUCCCUCACCUCCCUUCCUCGCCAGUUGCCGCCGGUGUUGCGGUUGUUGUUGAUCGCUGUGUUGCUUCGCUGCUUCCCCUCUCGUUCUUGCUUUGUGUUGUCGUCGCCGUCGGUGGUGGCCACUAAUCCACCACCAUCCACACCACAUCCCUAAUCGAUAACUCACUUCAACAGUUUUCCUUAAUUGAUCGAAUUGAUUUUGAUUUAUGGAACUCAAACCCUAACUAAUUCAUUUUCUCUCUCCUUUUUCGUGGGUGCGCCACCCUUUUUGGCCAUCGGUGCAACGGUGUUCCGCCGUUUUGUUGCCGUUGUUGCCGUGAUGUUGGUUGUUGUUGUUGAUUUGAUUGUUAUCGUUGGUCAUUGCUCUGCUGCCUCUGCUAUCUUAAGGAGUUAAAAUGUUUUGCAGGUAGCAAGAGUCGAGUCUCAGUUCAGGUUCAAGGUUCGUAGAGAUCUCCGGGGGCCUUAUACGUCCAAGGUUGGGUUAUGGAUUCGCCAAAUCUAAUUGAGUUUUCUAGAGUUUGUUAUUGGGCUGUAUAAUUUCUUCUUAAAGCUUUUGGUUUAUACAUUUUGGAUUAUAUAUCCGUGUUGGAGUUGUAGUUAAGUUAAGUUGUUGGUUUAAGGUUAAGUGUGCUUAGAAGUAGCUUACUAAGUGUGGGUUGUUGCAGUGACACCCUGAUGAUGUUUUGGGAAAUGUUAUAUGUUGGAAUGUUGUAACUGAAGCAGGUGAAAGAAAGAAAAUCUGACGUAAUUUCCUAAUAAUGUUUUAGGUUGUCCAUAUUUAGGGGAAAUGCUGCCGAAUUUUUCUUUGAUAAUUAAAAGUUUAAAGUUAAUUAGUGUCUUUAAGACAAACUAA